GCUUUGUCUAAAUUAACACUUGCCAAAGACAGUGAAAAUAGAAUUAAAUCAAUCCAAUGGCAGACUAUGGCUUUGUCUGUAUUAACACUUGCCAAAGACAGUGAAAAUAGAAUUAAAUCAAUCCACUGGCAGACUAUGUCUUUGUCUGUAUUAACACUUGCCAAAGACAGUGAAAAUAGAAUAAAAUCAAUCCACUGGCAGACUAUGA